UGCGUAGGCGGUUCGCUAAGUCGGAUGUGAAAACUCUGGGCUCAACCCAGAGCCUGCAUCCAAAACUGGCGGGCUAGAGUUCUGGAGGGGGUAGCGGAAUUCCUGGUGUAGCGGUGAAAUGCGUAGAUAUCAGGAGGAACACCGGUGGCGAAGGCGGCUACCUGGACAGAAACUGACGCUGAGGCGCGAAAGCUAGGGGAGCAAACA
rnacentral:rRNA from 1 species